ACACUGGACUUUGGUCAAGUACUAGCCUCC
rnacentral:piRNA from 1 species